rnacentral:rRNA from 1 species
UACGAAGGGGGCUAGCGUUGUUCGGAAUUACUGGGCGUAAAGCGCACGUAGGCGGAUUUGUUAGUCAGGGGUGAAAUCCCGGGGCUCAACCUCGGAACUGCCUUUGAUACUGCAGAUCUCGAGUCCGGAAGAGGUGAGUGGAAUUCCUAGUGUAGAGGUGAAAUUCGUAGAUAUUAGGAAGAACACCAGUGGCGAAGGCGGCUCACUGGUCCGGUACUGACGCUGAGGUGCGAAAGCGUGGGGAG